AUUGAACGCUGGCGGCAGGCUUAACACAUGCAAGUCGAGCGGAGAUGAGGUGCUUGCACCUUAUCUUAGCGGCGGACGGGUGAGUAAUGCUUAGGAAUCUGCCUAUUAGUGGGGGACAACAUUCCGAAAGGGAUGCUAAUACCGCAUACGUCCUACGGGAGAAAGCAGGGGAUCUUCGGACCUUGCGCUAAUAGAUGAGCCUAAGUCGGAUUAGCUAGUUGGUGGGGUAAAGGCCUACCAAGGCGACGAUCUGUAGCGGGUCUGAGAAGAUGAUCCGCCACACUGGGACUGAGAAACGGCCCAGACUCCUACGGGAGGAAGCAGUGGGGAAUAUUGGACAAUGGGGGGAACCCUGAUCCAGCCAUGCCGCGUGUGUGAAGAAGGCCUUAUGGUUGUAAAGCACUUUAAGCGAGGAGGAGGCUCUUUUGGUUAAUACCCAAGAUGAGUGGACGUUACUCGCAGAAUAAGCACCGGCUAACUCUGUGCCAGCAGCCGCCGUAAUAC
rnacentral:rRNA from 1 species